rnacentral:rRNA from 1 species
GAUUGCCCAGUAACGGCGAGUGAAGCGGCAAGAGCUCAAAUUUGAAAUCUGGCCCCUCCGGGGUCCGAGUUGUAAUUUGCAGAGGAUGCUUCGGGCGCGGUCCCCGUCUAAGUACCCUGGAACGGGUCGUCAUAGAGGGUGAGAAUCCCGUCUGGGACGGGUGGCCGUGUCCGUGUGAAGCUCCUUCGCCGAGUCGAGUUGUUUGGGAAUGCAGCUCUAAAUGGGUGGUAAAUUUCAUCUAAAGCUAAAUAUUGGCCGGAGACCGAUAGCGCACAAGUAGAGUGAUCGAAAGAUGAAAAGCACUUUGAAAAGAGAGUUAAACAGCACGUGAAAUUGUUGAAAGGGAAGCGCUUGCGACCAGACUCGCCCGCGGGGGUUCAGCCGGUACUCGUACCGGUGUACUCCCCCGGGGGCGGGCCAGCGUCGGUUUGGGCGGUCGGUCAAAGGCCUCCGGAAUGUGUCGCCCCCCGGGGCGUCUUAUAGCCGGAGGUGCAAUGCGGCCAGCCUGGACCGAGGAACGCGCUUCGGCUCGG